rnacentral:rRNA from 1 species
GAUGAACGCUAGCUACAGGCUUAACACAUGCAAGUCGAGGGGCAGCAUGGUCUUAGCUUGCUAAGGCCGAUGGCGACCGGCGCACGGGUGAGUAACACGUAUCCAACCUGCCGUCUACUCUUGGACAGCCUUCUGAAAGGAAGAUUAAUACAAGAUGGCAUCAUGAGUCCACAUGUUCACAUGAUUAAAGGUAUUCCGGUAGACGAUGGGGAUGCGUUCCAUUAGAUAGUAGGCGGGGUAACGGCCCACCUAGUCUUCGAUGGAUAGGGGUUCUGAGAGGAAGGUCCCCCACAUUGGAACUGAGACACGGUCCAAACUCCUACGGGAGGCAGCAGUGAGGAAUAUUGGUCAAUGGGCGAGAGCCUGAACCAGCCAAGUAGCGUGAAGGAUGACUGCCCUAUGGGUUGUAAACUUCUUUUAUAAAGGAAUAAAGUCGGGUAUGCAUACCCGUUUGCAUGUACUUUAUGAAUAAGGAUCGGCUAACUCCGUGCCAGCAGCCGCGGUAAUACGGAGGAUCCGAGCGUUAUCCGGAUUUAUUGGGUUUAAAGGGAGCGUAGAUGGAUGUUUAAGUCAGUUGUGAAAGUUUGCGGCUCAACCGUAAAAUUGCAGUUGAUACUGGAUAUCUUGAGUGCAGUUGAGGCAGGCGGAAUUCGUGGUGUAGCGGUGAAAUGCUUAGAUAUCACGAAGAACUCCGAUUGCGAAGGCAGCCUGCUAAGCUGCAACUGACAUUGAGGCUCGAAAGUGUGGGUAUCAAACAGGAUUAGAUACCCUGGUAGUCCACACGGUAAACGAUGAAUACUCGCUGUUUGCGAUAUACAGCAAGCGGCCAAGCGAAAGCGUUAAGUAUUCCACCUGGGGAGUACGCCGGCAACGGUGAAACUCAAAGGAAUUGACGGGGGCCCGCACAAGCGGAGGAACAUGUGGUUUAAUUCGAUGAUACGCGAGGAACCUUACCCGGGCUUAAAUUGCAGAUGAAUUACGGUGAAAGCCGUAAGCCGCAAGGCAUCUGUGAAGGUGCUGCAUGGUUGUCGUCAGCUCGUGCCGUGAGGUGUCGGCUUAAGUGCCAUAACGAGCGCAACCCUUGUUGUCAGUUACUAACAGGUCAUGCUGAGGACUCUGACAAGACUGCCAUCGUAAGAUGUGAGGAAGGUGGGGAUGACGUCAAAUCAGCACGGCCCUUACGUCCGGGGCUACACACGUGUUACAAUGGGGGGUACAGAGGGCCGCUACCACGCGAGUGGAUGCCAAUCCCAAAAACCUCUCUCAGUUCGGACUGGAGUCUGCAACCCGACUCCACGAAGCUGGAUUCGCUAGUAAUCGCGCAUCAGCCACGGCGCGGUGAAUACGUUCCCGGGCCUUGUACACACCGCCCGUCAAGCCAUGGGAGCCGGGGGUACCUGAAGUGCGUAACCGCGAGGAGCGCCCUAGGGUA